rnacentral:rRNA from 1 species
CAGUCGCCGCGGUAAUGCGAAGGGGGGCUAGCGUUGCUCGGAAUGACUGGGCGUAAGGGGCGCGUAGGCGGAUUGCACAGUCAGACGUGAAAUUCCUGGGCUCAACCUGGGGACUGCGUUUGAGACGUGCGAUCUAGAGUUUGGAAGAGGGUCGUGGAAUUCCCAGUGUAGAGGUGAAAUUCGUAGAUAUUGGGAAGAACACCGGUGGCGAAGGCGGCGACCUGGUCCUUGACUGACGCUGAGGCGCGAAAGCGUGGGGAGCAAACAGGAUUAGAUACCCCUGUAGUCCCUGUCUCUUAUU